GAGCAGAGAGCAGAGUUGGAUUGGCCUAAACGGAUGGAGAUAAUAUGCGGGAUUGCUCGCGGAAUCUUGUAUCUUCAUCAAGAUUCAAGACUGAGGAUCAUCCACAGAGACCUCAAGGCCAGCAAUGUACUGCUUGACAACGAAAUGAUCCCCAAGAUUGCGGAUUUUGGCAUGGCGAGAAUCUUUGGGGGGAAACAAAUCAGAGGAAGCACAAAUCGGGUCGUCGGAACAUAGUGAGUUAGUCUUUUACAAUUCACAUUGAACUGUGCAGAAUCUUUCAACCUUACAUCGUUUUCAAUCUCAUUGUCACAGUGGAUAUAUGUCACCUGAGUAUGCAAUGGAGGGUCAUUUCUCCGUUAAAUCCGACGUCUACAGCUUUGGAGUAUUGAUGUUAGAGAUCAUAACAGGAAAGAAAAACAGUGCUUUCCACAAGGAAUCAUCGAACCUUGUUGGACGUGUAAGUAGCAAAAAGAAUUACAUGAACAGAGGAUCAAAUCAGAACAUAACAUAACCAAAUGAUGUUUAUUUCGUCUUGUCUUGUAGAUAUGGGAUCUAUGGAACAAAGGUGAAGCAACAGCUGUCAUAGACGACAAACUAAUGAAUCAAGAUAUUAAUGAUGAGAGCGAAGUGAUGAAGUGCGUACACAUUGGGUUGCUUUGCGUGCAAGAAAAUGCUUCGGAUAGACCAGACAUGCCCUCUGUUGUGUCCAUGUUUGGUCAUAACGCCAAUGACUUUCCUCCUCCCAAGCAUCCUGCGUUUACGUCGGGAAGGAAGCCACACGUCAAGAAUGACGACCUCAGUGGAGAAAACAGCGCUUCUGUUAAUGACAUUACUCUCACUGAUGUUUAUGGCCGUUGAAAUAUUUUGAAUUAUUGAGAGAUGUAUCUUAUUUUUGAUAACUAUGAAACAAGGAGGAAGCCGGAGAAGAAAUGGGGAAGAGUGGUGGUGGUGGUUAGCUCCCUGCUGAUGGAUCUGAUGUUUUCAUUGUUCCCAUGGUUUCUCCUCUUAUUACCUUUGUAAGACUUAUUUAUGAUCAUACUCUUUCUGGAUUAUGCUUAUUGGCUGAUGAAUUUACUGAGUUUAUCUUUGGGGUAGUGGUUAAAAUGUCACAUAAAAGUUUUUUUUUCCACAAACUCUUUAGGAGAAAUAAAAAGCAUAAAGUUAUUGCCAGUCAUUAUCAUCUUUAACUUCACCUGCUAUGGGAUGUAACUAUGUAAGUGUUUCUUGUUAGUGAUUGAUAUUAUCUUAUAGAGUUCUUUUCCAAAGAGGAUGCCAAACAUAUUAGAUGUAUGAUUUUUUAUUGUGUCAGGUGACCAUGAGAAUGAAUGUGGAUGUUUGACACCGCAUAUAUAGACAGUAUGUUGAAUACCAUGGAUUAUUAGAGUUCAUGACAAUAUUUCUAUGUAUGUGUAGACAAAAGUGAUGCUACAGGCAUAAUCUAAAGGUGAUAUUUCUAUGUAUGCUUGAGUGAACAAGAACACAGAGAAGACGAGGAACGUGUUAUCUGAAAAGACUUCAAACAUACUUCCUCCGUUUCAAUAUGAUUUAUGUUUUAGAGAAGUUUUGUUGUUUCAUAAUAGAUGAAGUUUGCACAAAUCUAUGUAACUUUAUCAAAAACUGUGUAAUCAAUUGAAUUUUUCUUAUUUUUAUUUAUAAUUAAAUAAACUAACUAUAUAUUGUAAUUUAGUGAUGCUUUUGUUAAAAAAUACUCACUUUGUUUCAAAAUACAUAAAGUUUUAGGAUGUGACACAACUAUUAAGAAACUUGUCUUUUAUCUAUAAAAAUAUCAUUAAAAUAUAAAUUAAAAAUUAUUUAACCAAUCACAAAACAGAUUACAAAAUAUGAUUGGUUACACAGUUUUUGAUAAAGUUAAAAAGUACAUUGAAAUAUGAAAACAUCAUAUAUUUUAAAACAUGAAAAACUCUAUAAAACAUCAUCUAUUUUGAAACGGAUAUAGUGGUUUUUCUUAAUAUUUGUGCAUUAGAGUAAAACAUCAAGUAGUAAAAAAUAGAGUGAGUAUUUUUUUUUAGGUGCUUUUUAAAAGUAAACAAAGCAGUAACUUCUGCAGAUGAAGCUAACCAAGGAAGCUUGAUUAGGGAAGACCUCCCGGGAGACUGUCUUGACCCAAGCUUCAUGUAAGAUGCUGGUUGAUAGUUGAAAUCGCCUCAGCAAGGAUGAGGUCAGAUAACCAAGAUGGACCCCGUACGCCUAUUGUCACGAGUAACACUUUUGGCAAUCUCUUCAGCCGCUACAUUGCUUCUAUCAGGUAACAAGGACUAAUCCCUAACUGGGAUAGCAAAAACGUAUCUGGAAACACCAGCCACAUAUAUGGCCGGACAAACGCCACCACCGACGAACCAUUUAUCAAAACCUCCGCGAGAACGAGAGCUAUGGAUAUGAAACCACCAACUUGAGACUGGACCGGUGAAGAGAACUAAAACACCUUCCUUUCUCUAGCAUCAACCAAGAACACAAAAAAGUUGUAUUUGAGACCGUCAAACAACACUGCCGGACAAAAAAUAUGAGAAGAUGACGAAAUUGGAAUGGAGAAAAUAAACCACAUGAGAGAAAGUAGAAAAGAGCCUCCCCGGCGGUGACGAAGCCAAACCACCGGGGAAGCUAUAGAUCUAAGAACAAAGGUUUUGGCGGCUGGGAACACUUCGAAAGAAAAAAAAAUUAGGUUUAGUAAUCAACCCAUAGAGUGAGUAUUAUUACUGUAUUUAAGUUGAAAAAAACAGAAUAUAUUCUCCAAUUAUUUUAAAGAUUAGAUAUUUUUUUCAAAACGAGCAGAAAAGCGGGAACAAUUUCUUUUUUUGAAAUAACUAUGGCUUUCUAAAAUUUCAAUUUUCGAGUAAAGGCAAAUAGAUCCGACUGAGCCCAAUCAAGGCCCAUAGCAACUAAAUAGAAUCUCUCUCUCUCUCUAAGGGAAUGGCAAUCAAACUGAAAAUUCGACUUAAACAGAAGGGCGAAACCGUAAAGUUGAAUCCGUUUCCAGUAGUAGGAAUGCGAUUCCCCUGCUUCGACGGCGCGUAUGAGCCACGCGCAUCGCCGGCCGGCCGUGGGCAGAAAAUCGCCAUAUUACGCUUUUUUUUUUGGUAUUUCAAUUCUCCAUUCACACAAGUGGAGGUGAAACGAAUCAAUUGCUUGGAUGAUAGUAGAUAGUAUAUAUGUCAAAUGUUAUAGUCUCCGAAGCAGAGAGAUCUGUGCCUUGCUUUCGAUUACAUUCGCCGCCGGUCAAGGAGUCAUUGGAGUUUAGGUAGGCAAUUGAUUUGAUUCAGAUUCUACAUAUGGUGGUUGCCAAUGGUUUCGUAAGAGCGUAUUGCCUUGCUUUUGAGUCAAAAUCGUCUUACGUUGGCUCCUAUGGUGAUGUGGAUGUUCAACAAGAAGAGAGUUUUUGGAAGUGAAACGAAUCGUUUGUUUAGAUGAGAAGAGCGCCACUGAUACACGGCAAUGUUAUAGUCUCUGAAGCAGAGUUUUAUCUACGUGUAGUAGUCACAGCUACAUAGCUAACCUUUGCAUACCUGAGACAUGUAACUCUAUACAUAGUUUGCAACGCUUAUUUUUAAAUGGAACAUGUAUAUUAUUCAGGUCACCUCUAUACAGAUGACCUUAAAAUCUAAAUCAUUUUAUAUGUUUGCUGUUUGUUUCAGAUAGGUUGAGUAAGCAUGUUUCAUAUGGAAGGAGGAGAUCCCUCACUCUUUCUAAUUGCCUUGAUGUUCUGUUCCAUUAGAAGGAAGCCAGAGGUAAUGCAAAGUGCAAACGAUUGAUUAUGUGCAAGCUGAAUUUGGUUUACUACUCCUUACAUAAUCUGAGAGUUUUCCAAGCUCAACUGCGAAAUCUGAAAUGCAAAAGUAGAUGCACAGUAACCUUUCUAGAGCAUAUUGAUGUACUUUUUUUCUAGGUGUCUUUGGAGGAUUAGCGUUUGAAGAAAAUAUAAAGAAGUGUAUAUUUAGUUAUUUACCACUAACUUUGAGUUUUGUUUUGUAAGUUUUAAUCACUGAGAAAUUUGUUUAUAAAAACAGGUUUCAAAUAUCACAGUAUGAUUGUGCCGUUACAUCAGUAUACAUUUAUUAUUCUAGGUAAACGGGGCCUGGCUAUUUAGUAUUUAGUGAAGACUUGUAUUGACUUGACUAUUUACUGGUUCCCUGUUUGUUCGUCUAAUUUUCUAUGUCACAUGACUCUUCUCUUACAAUGGGUGUAAAUGACCGAUGUUAACUGCUCCGUAAAAGACAGAGAAGAACACUACGAUACAAGUUUCCUAUUUCAGGUGUGGCCCACUUGGCUUUUAAUAUAGACCGACAGCAUUUGCUCGCUUCAUGGAAACUCUUGUUCUGAAACAAACACUGAAAUGAAGAUCGUCUUCGUCUUCUUCUUGUUUUUCUGCCUCCUCCAGUCUUGUACCUGCGACGAUACGAUCAUGAGAACACAUUCCAUGAGAGAUGGUGAUGUCAUAAUCUCUGAAGGGAAGAGGUUUGCAUUUGGAUUCUUCAGCCUUGGAGUUUCAAACCUCCGUUACGUCGGGAUUUGGUAUGCUCAAAUCUCUGAGCAGACUGUUGUAUGGGUUGCUAACAGAGACAGUCCCAUGAAUGACACAUCUGGGGUGAUAAGGUUCAGCAGCAGUGGGAACCUCUGCAUCUAUGCAUCAGCCAACACAACAGAACCUCUCUGGUCGACCAAUGUUUCAGACAGUGUCCUGGAACCAACUCUAGUUGCGAGACUCUCUCCUCUAGGGAACCUUGUUCUGCUUGACUCAGUUACAGGGAAAGGUUUCUGGGAGAGCUUUGAUCAUCCUACGGACUCUUCUCUUCCGUCUAUGAGGUUGGGUUUCACACGAAAAGACGGCUUGGAUCGCUUUCUAACGUCUUGGAAAUCUCCAGGUGACCCAAGCUCUGGAGCUUUCACAUACCGGAUAAAUCGCACGGGGUUCCCGCAGCUGAUUCUGUACAAAGGUCUGACCCCAUGGUGGCGUACGGGAUCCUGGACCGGGUUGGGAUGGAGCGGUGUGCCUGGAAUGUCAAGAAGAAGAGGCUCUUCUAUCUUCCAUAGCUCGUUUGUUAAUAACCAGGACGAAGUAUCCACAACCAACCGUGUGACGGAUGCUUCAGUCCUAACAAGAAUGAUGGUGAACGAAACAGGAAACGUGCAACGUCUCACAUGGGUCGAAACGGAGAAGAAAUGGAAUGUGUACUGGUCGGUUCCUAAAGAGGAAUGCGACAAUUAUGCACACUGCGGCCUUAACGGUUACUGUGAUCCCACAGGUUCAGCAUCGUUUGUGUGCACAUGCCUACCUGGUUUUGAGCCGAAGAUGCCCCGUGAUUGGCUCUUGAGGGACACUUCGGGUGGGUGUACUAAGAAAAACAACGCUUCAAUAUGCGGCCGUGAGAAAGAAGGGUUUGUGAAGUUAAAGCGCGUGAAGAUUCCCGACACAUCAGUUGCAAGUGUGGAUAUGAACAUAACACUGAAGGAGUGCAAACAGAGGUGCUUAGGGAACUGCUCUUGUGUCGCUUACGCAAGCGCUUACCAUGAAGGUGUGGGGGGAGCAAGAGGGUGCUUGACAUGGCACGGCGAUAUGUUGGAUGCGAGGAUAUACAUGAACACGGGACAAGAUUUCUACAUACGUGCAGACAGGGAAGAGAUAGGUAUGUAUAAUUAUAAAUGCAUUCUAAUGAUUUCUAAAGUAUUUUGAAGUACUUAGCAAGGGUUUGCUUACUUGUUGCAGAGCGGUGGAACAAAGAUGGCUUAUUACGGAAGAGGAGAGUCAUUAUCAUUGUCAUCAGUUUGAUUGCAGCCGUAAUGUUACUAGCCGUCAUUUCGUUCUGUUACGUAAGGAAGCGACGAAGUAAGUGAAUAUCUCUACGAUGUAUCUUUCAAGCUUUUAUGUUUCUUGAUUAUCUCACAACUGGCUAUUUUGCAAAUUUUCACCUGCAGAGUCGAACAGGGAAAGAAGAUCCUCAACAACCUUGGCUCCAGGUUCUCCAUUCAGAUUUGAAGAGGACCGGGGGAGAGAAUGGGAGUUACCUCUCUUUGAGCUUAACACAAUCGUUACAGCGACGAACAAUUUUGCUUUCCGUAACAAGCUUGGAGAAGGUGGUUUCGGACCCGUUUAUAAGGUAAGGAAGAUGCAAACUGCAUCUUCAAAUAUGCCUGAACUUUUUAUGUUACGCAAAUCUUUAACAAUACUCCUCCAUCAGAACAAUCUUUAAGUUCAAUAAGUAGGAAGGAAUGUUUAAGAUGUUUUCAAUCAAAAACGAUAUCUACUCAGGGCGUGUUAGAAGACGGUGCGGAGAUAGCAGUGAAGAGGUUGUCUAAAAACUCAGGCCAAGGGAUGGAAGAGUUCAAGAACGAGGUCAAGUUGAUAUCGAAGUUACAGCAUCGGAAUCUCGUGAGGAUGUUAGGAUGUUGCGUUGAAUCGGAAGAGAAGAUGUUGGUAUACGAGUAUUUACCAAACAAGAGUUUAGACUGUUUCAUAUUCGGUAAGUUCAACCUGUCUGAUGCAUGUAGUCUACACAUUCGAAUCUUCCAAUUCAGAAAGAUCUUAUGGUGUUGUGUUUCACGUAGAUGAAGAGCAGAGAUCGGAGUUAAAUUGGCCAAAACGGAUGGAGAUAAUACACGGGAUUGCUCGCGGAAUCUUGUACCUUCAUCAAGAUUCAAGACUGAGGAUCAUCCACAGAGACCUCAAGGCCAGCAAUGUACUUCUUGACAAUGAAAUGAUCCCCAAGAUUGCGGAUUUUGGCAUGGCGAGAAUCUUUGGGGGCAACCAAAUCAGAGGAAGCACAAAUCGUGUCGUCGGAACAUAGUGAGAUAGUCUUUUAUAAUUCACAUUGAACUGUGCAGAAUCUUUCAACCUUACAUCGUUUUCAAUCUCAUUGUCACAGUGGAUAUAUGUCACCUGAGUAUGCAAUGGAGGGUCACUUCUCCGUUAAAUCCGACGUCUACAGCUUCGGAGUAUUGAUCUUAGAGAUCAUAACAGGGAAGAAAAACAGUGCGUUCCACAAGGAAUCUUUGAACCUAGUUGGACAAGUAACUAGAAUAUGCAAUUUUUUUUACAUAAACCUGGAUCAAAGCAGAACAUAACAUAACCAAAUAUUGUUUAUUUCGUCUUGUUUUGUAGAUAUGGGAUCUAUGGAACAAAGGUGAAGCAACAAAGAUCGUAGACAAACUAAUGAACCAAAAGAUUUAUGAUGAGAGCGAAGUGAUGAAGUGCGUACACAUUGGGUUGCUUUGCGUACAAGAAAAUGCUUCGGAUAGACCAGACAUGCCCUCUGUUGUGUCCAUGUUUGGUCAUAAGGCCAAUGACUUUCCUCCUCCCAAGCAUCCUGCGUUUACGUCCGGAAGGAAGACACACGUCAAGAAUGACGACAGCACCUCCGGUGCUUACCCCAGUGGAGAAAAUAGCAAUUCUGUUAAUGACAUUACUCUCACUGAUGUUCAUGGCCGUUGAAAUAUUCUGAAUUGUCGAGAGAUCUAUCUUAUUUUGAUAAACUACUUCCAUAGAAGUGUGUGUUUUAGUUUUAAUUGCAACUACGUGUGAGACGUUGAUUAACUAUGAAAUAAGGAGGAAGCAGGAGAAGAAAUGGGGAAGAGUGGCGGUGGUGGUUGGCUCCCCGCUGAUGGAUCUGAUUGUUCCCAUGGUUUCUCCUCAUAUUACCUUUGUAAGACUUAUGAUCAUCAUACCCUUUCUUGAUUAUGCUUAUUGGCUGAUGAAUUUGCUGAAUUUAAUAUAUCCAGUCAUUGUCAACUUAAUAUUCACUUGCUAUGGGGAUUGGUAUAUAUAAUAAAUCUUUGAGGGUAGUGGUUAAAAUGUCACAUAAAGUUAUUGCCAGUCAUUAUCAUCUUUAACUUAACCUGCUAUGGGAUGUAAGUGUUUCUAGGUAGUGAUUGAUAUAUCUUAUAGAGUUCCUUACCAAGGAUAAAAAAAAGUACAUUAGGAUGUAUGAUUUUUUAUUGUGUUGGUUACCAUGAGAAUGAAUGUGGAAGGGAUGCUUGAGACCGCAUAUUACAGGCAAAGGUGAUAUUACAGGCAUACUCUAAAGGCAGAGAAGAUCAACAUAAUAUGCUUGAGACAGCAUAUAUAGCACUGUGUUAAAUACCAUGAAUCCGUCUAGAUUUACAUUUCCUUGAGCUUAGCUCAUUAAAAUAAAAUAAGAAGUAGAAAUGAUAUAUGUAAAAGUGACUCUUGUCUUCUAAGUUUCAGUUGUCAAUAUUGUAUAAAGUAGGUCUUUGAAUAUCAAUAUAUAUAUAUAUAUGCUUGUCAUGUUACACAUAAGUAGGUAUUUAUUAUUGUAGGGAAAUUUAGGUGGCGUGGACUGAUUCCAGUUCCUGCACAGUGAAAAAGAGGCAAUGGUUGAAUGGACACUGGACAAGGAAGAAAAAGUUUCACGACGUUGGUAACCUUUUUAGUUCGUGUCAUGUUGCAAGUCACAUGUUUUUUACAUGUUUGAAAGUUCAACCUUAGAGAGAUAAAUCCGGAACCGAGCGUGACUGAUUGAUGACUGCAGUUAAUGUUGUUAGUUCAGGUGAGUCCCACUUGGGAUUUCAAUAAGACACAUAGCAUUAAUACGUUUCCAUCAAACUCUGAUUCAAAAAACAAAACACAGGAUGAAGAUCUUCUUCAUCUUUUUCUUUGUUUUAUUCUCCUUCCUUGUCCAUUCUUGUUUGUCCAACAACAUGAUCAUGAGAACACAGUCCAUGAGAGAUGGUGAUGUUAUCUUCUCUGAAGGAAAGAGAUUCGCUUUUGGAUUCUUCAGCCUGGGGACUUCAAACCUCAGGUACGUUGGGAUUUGGUAUGCUCAAGUCUCUGAGCAGACAGUUGUAUGGGUUGCAAACAGAGACCAUCCUAUUAACGACACGUCUGGUCAUAUAAAGUUCAGCAGCAGAGGGAAUCUCUGUGUGUAUGCAUCUGUCAACGGAACAGAACCUAUCUGGUCCACCGAUGUUUUGGAUACGAUCUCAGAACCAGCUUUAGUUGCGAAGCUGUCUGAUCUAGGCAACCUUGUCCUGCUUGAUCCUGUCACAGGGAAAAGCUUCUGGGAGAGCUUUAACCAUCCUACGAACACGUUGCUUCCCUUUAUGAAGUUCGGAUACACUCGCCAAGACGGUGUUGACCGGUUCAUGACGUCGUGGAGAUCUCCUGGCGACCCUGGCUUCGGUAACGUUACGUACCGGAUAGAGCGUAGAGGGUUUCCGCAGAUGAUGAUGUAUAAAGGAACGACUCUGUGGUGGCGUACUGGGUCAUGGACAGGGCAGAGAUGGAGCGGUGUGCCUGAGAUGACAAACAAGUUUAUAUUCAAUAUCUCCUUUGUGAACAGUCCUGAUGAAGUAUCGAUCACGUACGGUGUGUUGAGUCCUCUAGUCAUAACGAGAAUGGUGCUGAACGAGACGGGGACCCUGCAGCGGUUCACGUGGAACGGGAAGGAUAAGAAGUGGAUCGGGUUCUGGUCGGCUCCUGAGGAGAAGUGUGACAGCUACAACCACUGUGGCCUUAACGGUUACUGCGAUACCACGAGUCCAGACAAGUUUGAGUGCUCUUGCCUACCGGGGCACGAGCCUAAAACUCCUCAAGCUUGGAACUUGAGGGAUGCUUCUGAUGGGUGCAAGAGGAGCAACGCGGCUUCGAUAUGUAAUGGGAGAGAAGGUUUUGCGAAGUUGAAGCGGGUGAAGGUUCCAAAUACAUCAGGUGUGAGUGUGGAUAUGAACAUAACGCUUAAAGAAUGUGAAAAGAGGUGCUUGAGGAACUGCUCUUGUGUCGCUUAUGCGAGCGCUUACCACGAGAGCGAAGAGGGAGCAAAAGGGUGCUUGACAUGGCACGGUGAUAUGUUGGAUACAAGGACAUACUUGAGUGCAGGACAAGAUUUCUAUCUACGUGUAGAUAAAGCAGAGUUAGGUAUUGAUAUACACAUAGACUCUGCUACUUGUUUCUGUUUCAUUAUUUUGAUUUGUUUUGCUUGUUUCAGCGCGGUGGAAUGGAAGUGGAUCAUCAGGGAAGUUGAGGAUAUUCUUUAUUCUCAUCAGUAUGAUUGUAGUCGUGGUGUUGCUAGUGAUCAUGUUGUUCUGUUUCAUAAAGAAACGAAGACGUAAGUAACUCUCUGAUGAUGAUCGUAUAAGUAUAUAUGUAUCCUUGCUGAUAAAUUGAAAACAUGUACACAUGCAGAGGCUAUAAGGCAUAAGAAACCUCCAUCAACCUUCGCCCCGAGCUCUUUUGAUAUUGAAGAGCCAUUCGUAUUAGAAGAUCUCGAGGAUAAAUCAAGAAAGGGGGAGUUGCCUCUCUUUGAGCUUAGCACGAUCGCUGAAGCGACUAAUAACUUCUCUUUUCAAAAUAAGCUAGGAGCAGGUGGUUUCGGACCCGUUUACAAGGUAAGGAAGUAGCAAAUUAUGCCUAUAGUAUAUAUGAAUUAGUAUUCAAUAAGCUCCGUAAGUAGUAAGGAAUGGUUCCUUUGUUUCUAUUUUCAGGGCGUGUUAGAAAACGGUAUGGAGAUAGCAGUGAAGAGGUUGUCAAAAAACUCGGGACAAGGGAUGGAAGAGUUCAAGAACGAGGUCAAGUUGAUAUCAAAGCUGCAGCAUCGAAAUCUCGUGAGGAUCUUAGGGUGUUGCGUUGAAUCGGAAGAGAAGAUGUUGAUAUACGAGUAUUUACCAAACAAGAGCUUAGACUGUUUCAUAUUCCGUAAGUUCCGAAAUUUCUUAUACAAAAUCAAAUUCAAAUUCAAAUUCAAAUCCUCCCUUUCAGAAAGAUCAAUAACUUUUUGAUUUGUUAUCCUCCUCUUAGGUGAGGAGCAUAGAGCGGAGUUAGACUGGUCAAAACGGAUGGGGAUAAUCCGAGGGAUUGCGCGGGGAAUCUUGUAUCUUCAUCAAGAUUCAAGACUGAGGAUCAUCCACAGAGACCUCAAGGCCAGCAAUGUACUUCUCGACAACGAAAUGAUCCCCAAGAUUGCUGACUUUGGCAUGGCUAGAAUCUUUGGAGGCAACCAAAUCGAAGGAAGCACAAACCGAGUUGUUGGAACAUAGUGAGUUAAUAUUCUUUCUCACUAUCCACAGGACUCUUUUAACUUUCUAUUCAAUCUAAAAGAAUCGUUUCAAUCUCAUUGUCACAGUGGAUAUAUGUCACCAGAGUAUGCAAUGGAUGGUCAGUUCUCAAUAAAAUCCGACGUCUACAGCUUCGGAAUAUUGAUCUUAGAGAUCAUAACAGGAAAGAAGAAUAGUG
rnacentral:lncRNA from 1 species